UACGGAGGGUGCAAGCGUUAUCCGGAUUCACUGGGUUUAAAGGGUGCGUAGGUGGGCAGGUAAGUCAGUGGUGAAAUCUCCGAGCUUAACUCGGAACUGCCGUUGAUACUAUUUGUCUUGAAUAUUGUGGAGGUAAGCGGAAUAUGUCAUGUAGCGGUGAAAUGCUUAGAUAUGACAUAGAACACCAAUUGCGAAGGCAGCUUACUACACAACUAUUGACGCUGAGGCACGAAAGCGUGGGGAUCAAACAGG
rnacentral:rRNA from 1 species